AGUGAACGCUGGCGGUAGGCCUAACACAUGCAAGUCGAACGGCAGCACAGGAGAGCUUGCUCUCUGGGUGGCGAGUGGCGGACGGGUGAGGAAUACAUCGGAAUCUACUUUUUCGUGGGGGAUAACGUAGGGAAACUUACGCUAAUACCGCAUACGACCUACGGGUGAAAGCAGGGGAUCUUCGGACCUUGCGCGAUUGAAUGAGCCGAUGUCGGAUUAGCUAGUUGGCGGGGUAAAGGCCCACCAAGGCGACGAUCCGUAGCUGGUCGGAGAGGAUGAUCAGCAAAACAGGAACUGAGGCACGGUCCAGACUCCUACGGGAGGCAGCAGUGGGGAAUAUUGGACAAUGGGCGGAAGCCUGAUCCAGCCAUACCGCGUGGGUGAAGAAGGCCUUCGGGUUGUAAAGCCCUUUUGUUGGGAAAGAAAUCCAGCUGGUUAAUACCCGGUUGGGAUGGCGGUACCCAAAGAAUAAGCACCGGCUAACUUCGUGCCAGCCGCCGCCGUAA
rnacentral:rRNA from 1 species